CAUCCACACGAUGGGAAGCUCUUGACGAUCCUGAUGAGCAUAUUGGUGGCGCACGCAUCACAUCUCUUAAUCUUUGCGACGCGUUCAAGCACCCAGGUAUUAAGCUGCCCGUCGAUCUAAACAUUUGAAAAAGAAAAUCACGUCAGAAGAAAUCAAUUCAAACCAACUACAAACAAAUCUUAAACACCUCACCUUAGCUGACCAUCCAUGUCGACGAACUCCAUCUUUGAUGCUAGAAGGAAACAGAUCGAGAUGUAUCACCGAGCCUCGACCACACAGACACCACACAAACCAACCACCCAGCGCAGCAUG
rnacentral:lncRNA from 1 species